rnacentral:tRNA from 1 species
UAUUUUCAUAGUUUAAAAUAAGAAUAGAGGUUUGUGGCGCCUCUGGUGUGAAAUCACUGAAGAUAA